CAUGGUGUGUGGACGUAUUGUUAUGUAUAUUGCAUGCCUGCUACGGAAUACUUUGACGACUAUUUUGAUACUAUUUGUACAACAUUAUUAGACAUGUGACUCGUCAACUCUGAAAGCUUUACGAAGUUCAAUUUUUUGACUUAUUGACGGCUUUGAAAAUGAAGGGGACAGAUAGGUUUUUCAACCAAUGCAUUGACAGGUAAACAAUGCCAAGCAUUGUGAAUUUCAUUCUACUAUUGAAAGUCGCAUCGUUAGGACGUAUCACGUAAUAUCACAGUAAUCGUUGAUGGUGAGAAUACGUUUGACAGCCUACAGGUUCAUAUGAUAUAGCUGCUAUUAUGACAAAUGGCGACCGUAAUUGCUGUUCAUCGAAAAUUGGUAAUUAUUGAACACAAUUCUUUUAUUCCAACAAUAUUCGUAUCACAACAUUUUUUUAUCUAAUGGUAGAAACAAAUAAAUAUCAUGGUUAUUCGAGUAAUAGAACUAUAACUUCGAAUAAAUUAAUUUG